GAUGUGGCUUUGUUGGAGGAAGUGUGUCACUGGGGGUGGGCUUUGAGGUUUCAGAUGCUUAAGCCAGGCCCAGUGUCAUACUCUCUUCCUAAUGCCUGCUGAUC
rnacentral:miRNA from 1 species